rnacentral:tRNA from 3 species
CAUUAAGAAGCUAAACCGGGUCCAGCAUUAGCCUUUUAAGCUAAACAUUGGUGACUCCCAACCACCCUUAAUGA